rnacentral:rRNA from 1 species
CCUACGGGAGGCAGCAGUGGGGGAUAGUGGACAAUGGGGGAAACCCUGAAGCAGCGAAGCCGCGGGAGGGAAGACGGUCCGAUGGAUUGUAAACCACUGUCGCCAGGGACGAAGAUGACGGUACCGGGGGAGGAAGCGCCGGCUCACUACGUGCCAGCAGCCGCGGUAAGACGAAGGGAGCGAGCGUUGUCCGGAAUUACGGGGUGUAAAGGGAGCGGAGGGGGGGAUGCAAGUUGGGUGUCACAACUACCGGCUCAACUGGUAGUCGCACUCAAAACUGCAGCUCUUGAGUGCAGUAGAGGCAGGCGGAAUUCCUCGUGUCGCGGUGAAAUGCGUAGAUAUUAGGAGGAACACCAGUUGCGAAGGCGGCCUGCUGGGCUUUUACUGACGCUGAGGCUCGAAAGUGUGGGGAGCAAACAGGAUUAGAUACCCGAGUAGUC